UACAGAGGUCCCAAGCGUUGUUCGGAUUCAUUGGGCGUAAAGAGCUCGUAGGCGGUUCAGUAAGUCGGGUGUGAAAUCUCCGUGCUCAACACGGAGCGGCCACCUGAUACUGCUGUGACUCGAGUCCGGUAGGGGAGUGUGGAAUUCCCGGUGUAGCGGUGAAAUGCGCAGAUAUCGGGAGGAACACCAGUAGCGAAGGCGGCACUCUGGGCCGUGACUGACGCUGAGGAGCGAAAGCGUGGGUAGCAAACAGG
rnacentral:rRNA from 1 species